CGACAUGUUGACUAAAAUGUGUAACUCGUUUUUUUAUUCAGCAUAAUGAACAGUUUAAUACCUAUUGGGAGAACUAAACAGUUAAAAAAUUUAACCAAACAGCUGGUUCUGUAAAUAUACAUAUGUUAAUUAUAUGCCUCUUAUAUACAUGAACAUAAAACAAGUGUGAUUUCCACCAGAAAGAAAUUAUGUUCAAAUAAAUUACUACAAUCAUAAAUGUGUCCAAGGAUGCGGUAAAUUCCUGGGACUGUGUUCUAUGACCAGAGAUAAGUUCAUAUCUACUCACUGAACCGCAAUUUUCCUACAGGCUUCAAUGAUACAACUGGCUUUCAGUUGCCAGAGUAGAACUUGUCCUAGAUUAUAGAAUCCAGCCCAUCGUCCAGAAUAUUAGCCCUGUCCCUCUCAAACAGGUGUGUGCAUCGC